rnacentral:tRNA from 1 species
GCGGUUGUAGUUUAAUGGUAGAACAACGGACUGUGGCUCCGUAGACGAGAGUUCGAUUCUCUCCUUCCGCU